AGUUGAGAAAGCAUGCGUGCCAAACAGAAAGGAGCAGGUCGAGGUAAGUCGACGAGAUUAGACGAGGGCACGGAAAGCAGCAAAGCCCUUUCCAAACGAAUCAUGAACGCCAUACAGAGCCUAGCCCUAGCGUGGAAUGGAACUCUCGGCGGAAAUCCAGAAGGAAAAGAGAGCCAGGGGGAGGAACAGAACCGAGGAGAAGGAUCAAGAACUCACUUGCGUCGGCGUAAAAUAAAACCCAAUGGAAUUCUCUGCUCCGCCGCCGCUUCCGAAGCCGAAAGAACCGCCGCCGCGAGCGGAGAAUGGGGAUCAGCCGAUCACAACGACCAUGAGAAUUCAGAGUUGGGAAAAAAAGAACUCCACACCCCCGGGGUGGCCUCUUAAAUAAAAGGCCUUAGAGAGAGACAGAGCUGCUCAAUAAAUUUCGUGUGCACCCUCUCUCUCACUCACUCACUCAAGUCCACCUCGCUCCUCUUUCGG
rnacentral:misc_RNA from 1 species